GCACGAAGACAGCUCUCCGAGACGGGGAUGAGGAUGGCGCCGUCUUAACGCCGCUUCUCUUCACCUUCUCCGCGUUCCUGCUGGGUUUUCCUCGCCAAUUCUUGAGCAAGAAGAGCAGCGGCUGGCACUCGGGAACGGCACCGGCGACUGUCUAAACUCGUUUUGCUGUGUUCAGGUGUAACGGUGUUGGUGCCAGCCUGCCGAGCCGUCCCUCAGCACGGGAUUUUGCCUUAUUGCAAAGUCAGCUCGAUAGCCAUGGUCUGGAGUCUCUCCGGCUCUGGGUGGGAGCUGGCAGCAUCCCACGUCCCUACCUCCAGUAUAGGACCAUGUGGCUGCUGCAGCCUACUUCAAAACGAUGGUAGACUAGCAAGCAGCGGUGAUUUCCCGUGUUUUGGAAUUUUAACGUCAGCACCACUUGUAAUCUGUAGACAGCUGUGGCUAAAGGUGAAAAUGAAAGUUCUCUAUAAAUGAUAAACCAAAAAACUAGGAAUCAGCUAUUAUUAUUUUAAACAGUUGAGAUUUCAGGAGGUAGUUCUGUUGCUCCAUCCGAUACACACGUUUGCCUAAAGAAAACCCUCUUUAUAGUAAUAGGAUUCUGGUUUCCGCCCUCCUUCAAAGCGUGGAAGUUCAUCUGGAGUAGGAAGUAAACCCUUCCGGCCUCCUGAGCAGUAAGAGAUGCAGGGGACCGGCGUGAGAAGAGACAUUGUAUUCAUGAAAAUACUGUAAUUUGCCCAAGAAAUGUCUUUGCUUCCUUAUCCUUGCAUUUCAGUGUGGAAGAAUGUUCCCCUCACCUCUAAGAGCACCACGACCUCGCCCCCGAACACCAUGGUCCCUUCCUCUUGAGUUUUCAUCUGGAGAGUCAAAAGUGUCAUCUGGCCCAAAAUCUUCAGGGCCAGGAAAGCCAUCUCUCCCCCUGGGUCCCCGGCCCUCAUGUCUUGAGGGUCCUCCUCUUCUGAAGCUACAAGAAAGAACAUGGUACAAAUCUGGUUUUUAGGCAGAAUUUAGAUUGAUAAACUUGAGUCAGCUUCAGUUUAAUAAUCAACUCAUUUCUGAACUGUUUUACUUAAUACUAUAGCACAGUUACUAGAAUAGGUUUUUUAGGUGGAAAAGUGCUCAUUUUCUGCCUUUGAGCACUUUGUUUAUUCAUUUUUCUAGUUUUCCCUCAUAUUUCCUUCUGUUGAUUGUGUAGGUUUUUCAUACCAGAAAAAUAUUGUUGAAUAUACUGCAUUCAUUUAAUGAAAAGGGGGAAAAAACCAAUCAGUGAGUGAUGAUAGAUGUAAGGUAAGGUAAGGAAAAGUAUAAGUGAAUUUCCCUUAACUGUGGUGGUCUUACUUUCCCCUUCCCUUUUAGUGAUAAAAACAAACUGAAGAGGUACAAGCAG